rnacentral:tRNA from 1 species
CCCUGCAUGUUGUAACAGUCAGCAUUCCUCGUUGUGAACGAGGCGGUGCCGGUGCGACUCCGGCUGUGGGAACCA